AUCCACACUGAUUAGCUGCCACCAGCUGCUGCGCUGCCCGCUGUAGUGUACAGUAUAUUAGUAGCGCUGCGCCCGGCUCCUUCCCCGCCGGAGGCAGCGCUGCUAAUAUAGAUCACAGGCACAGCAGGCAGCGCUGGGCAAUCUGUGUCUGUGAAUCUCUCCUCCGUGUGCUGCUGUGCUCUGCUCCGCCCCCACCCUCCUCCUGCUCUGUACACUGACUUCCGGGUACAGGAGAGACGACGGCUGUUGCUGCUGCUGCUGCUUAUCACAGCAAGUGAAGUCUCUUCCUCCAUUCCCUCCCACCCCUCGUGCAAGUGCUGCUUAUAUUAAAAUGAAACCACAAACUGUUGAUGCAAAGUCGGUAACGGUUAGAAAACAAACAUCACAAGCUGGUAACCCUGCCUUUACUGCUCGUAAAAUAAAUGAAAUGAAAACGUCUGCUAUUGCUGUGCGUGCCUGCUGUACUCCUCAUAUGUCCUCUGAUACCACCCUUCAGAAUGUGACUGCGCUGUCAAUAUGAUAUAUUUGAAAGAACAGCAAACAAAAUGUUGGCUUUCACCGUGUCCCCCAAGUAUUGCUUCUUCAAAUAAAAACAAAUGACAUGAAGUUGGAAUUAUUGUAGCUAUAAUAAUCCGCAGACCACAGGGAACAGGGGCUUAAAGGAACUAACACAGAAAAAGUCAAAUUCCAAUGCAUGCCUUGCAGUUCUACAUACGGCCAUCCGCAUCCUGAUGGAUGUGUGUCAGCAUUGCGUCGUGUUUUACGCAAAGGUUCACGAUGUGUUUUCAUUUUUCACAGUUUCAUCAGUUCCAGCAGAUAAAGUGCUUAAUUUCUGAAUAUACCAAAGACGAUUUCUUUAUUGUUAUUAUGUGAAACCAAUUUCCUGCGUUCAGUUGUUUUAUUUAAAAACUGUUGUUGCAUUUUACACGUAUAUAUGUAUAUUUAAAAGUUUUUUUUAUCAAUAGACAUUGUGACAAUUUCUUAUCAUUAAAAAAAAUAAAAUAACAUGCUGUAUUUGUGUUGUUAGAGGAUUUACAUAUCUUGACUUUUAUGAUACAUAUAGUCACAUUUUUUUUUGUUGUUUUUUAGUUUACUGUAACUUUGCUGAAUUAGUCAGUGAUUGCAAUUUGAGUUAAGCUAAUAAGUAACUGAAGACUUCAUAAGAGUGUCAGCUCUUAGGACGUCACUUUUAGGCAAACCAGGUCAAGUAAUUUUUUGGCUUUGUUGUGAAUAACCCAAUUACAACACUUACAAUUACAAUAAAGUUUUGCCUUAAGAACCACUUAAA